rnacentral:rRNA from 1 species
GUGGGGUGACGGCCUACCAAGGCGACGACGGGUAGCCGGCCUGAGAGGGUGACCGGCCACACUGGGACUGAGACACGGCCCAGACUCCUACGGGAGGCAGCAGUGGGGAAUAUUGCACAAUGGGCGCAAGCCUGAUGCAGCGACGCCGCGUGAGGGAUGACGGCCUUCGGGUUGUAAACCUCUUUCAGUAGGGAAGAAGCGAAAGUGACGGUACCUGCAGAAGAAGCGCCGGCUAACUACGUGCCAGCAGCCGCGGUAAUACGUAGGGCGCAAGCGUUAUCCGGAAUUAUUGGGCGUAAAGAGCUCGUAGGCGGUUUGUCGCGUCUGCCGUGAAAGUCCGGGGCUCAACUCCGGAUCUGCGGUGGGUACGGGCAGACUAGAGUGAUGUAGGGGAGACUGGAAUUCCUGGUGUAGCGGUGAAAUGCGCAGAUAUCAGGAGGAACACCGAUGGCGAAGGCAGGUCUCUGGGCAUUAACUGACGCUGAGGAGCGAAAGCAUGGGGAGCGAACAGGAUUAGAUACCCUGGUAGUCCAUGCCGUAAACGUUGGGCACUAGGUGUGGGGGACAUUCCACGUUCUCCGUACCGUAGCUAACGCAUUAAGUG